AUACCCACGAUUGCAAUGUCAUUAUAGGACUCUAUACAUUCGUCAAUCUACAAAAACAUUGCCUUUUGGAAACCCCUCUAAAUUUUUGAACCAAAAAUAUGGCUAAAUUUCAUAAAUUGGUUUCAUUGGUGCGCGAUGUGGGUUCCUUCUUGAGGCGCUUAAAUUUGAGCAUUGCUCGGCUGAUUUUCCUGGAGCUUCCCACGGCCACAAAGCAGUUUCGAAUGUGAUUCACGAAUCAUGAAUGAAGACCCCACCAUAGACCCAACGAAUGAACAGCAGGAUCUCCACUUACCAGAAGACUUUGGCAGACACAACUAAUAUGAUACCAAAAUAAAGGAAUUUUCUCAUCAAAUUAGUUUUGAGGAGUUGUUUUUUCUUAAUGCCUAAAUCUAAAGCCAUUGAUUCUAGAGUGAUAAUGGAAUAAGAUUCGCUGCAAAGGACAUUCAAAGAUGCAGCAGAGGCGA